UAAAAUAUAUAGAAUGAAUAAUGUUUUGUACUGCAGCUAGAGUGACCAAACUGAAUAGCAAAUUAAUUUGACUUCAGUCACUAUCAGAUAAGAAUGAUCCCUUUACUGCCAUUGAAAAUAAACAUCAGCAGAAAGAGCUGGGUUUCAUAUAAAAAGGUCUGGAAGCUCCAGUCGGCUUAGGAAGCAAAUGUACGUGUGAAAUAUCACUUGGGUGGCGCGUGCGAGAAGAGCUUGAGGUUGAAAGGGAGAAACUCUGAGCUUUGCUUUGUCAGUUGCAUUCCAGCUGUCAACACUGAGAAGUAAGAAGCACAAUGUGAGAACUUGUAGAUGCAAUAACAAAAAUAUGAUGAAAACACACAAGCCCAUGUAUAGUCACUGAUGAAUAUUACUGUUGAGCAACCACACGGAGAGCUGAGGAGUUCCUGUGAGGACCCUCGCAGAUGGUGAUGUUUUUUUUGAGAGGGGUGGUAAUGCAAACCAGCACAUCAGAUGACUGUGGCCACCCCUUGGUGUCUGUAUAGUCUACCUAGAUGAUACAAUGACAGACAGACAUACAGAGCUCACAACAGACACGCGCGCACACACAUACACACACACACACACACACACGCACGCGCACACACACACACACACACAAACACACAUUUAAAAACACUCAACUCAUUUCUCCUGCUUAAUGAGAAAAUGGGUGGUUCAGUUCUUCUGCUCCUGGGCUUAGUGUGUGUAAAUGUGCUGGGGUCUGAGGCACUAGCUGAACAAUGCAGGGUGUCUAGAUACAGGAUGGAUGAAGUGGGGCAUCUGUGGUAGGAUGCUGACCAGAUCUGACAGCUCUGACAUUGAAGUGGAGAAGAAUGUGUGGGCAGUUCUGGGAGAGGAUGUGGUUCUGCGGUGCCAGUACAUAGGCCAGUCUGCCAUCCUAUAUUCCUCGUGGUCCAUGGAGCAAACAAAUGGAAAAUGGAAACAGCUUGUUGUGUACUUUAUGCAGCAGGUCACAAUCAAUGACAAUAGAUUUGGGAUCCCGAUUUCCUCGAGCAACCUCACUGUGACCAUGAAUGUCUCCAGCAAGGAGGAUGAACAGGAAUACAAAUGCAGCUUCUUCACAGGAUCAGAAACAACAGAAGGAAAAGUGACCCUCAGGAUCAUGGCUCCACCCUCAGUUCACACUCAGGUGCAGGAGGCUGUGGAGAACGGGCUGCACUACCAGACUGUCAUCUGCUCUGCCACUGGCGGAAGACCUAAAGCUGAGCUUUUCUGGCUGGUCCAUGGCCAGCAGGCCAGUGGGCAGGCAUUCUCUAUUAACACCACAUCACUCGAGGGCCCUAAUGGGACCUUCACUCAGACCAGUGUGCUCCAGUUUGCCACCCAUGUUAUGAAUGAGGGCUAUGUCACCUGUGCUGUCAAUCACAGAGCCCUAGCUACCCCUACUCAUGUGAGAGUGGAAGUGAAGCAUUUUGUUGCACCUAUUCUGACAAUGGAAACAAACUUGGUUCAAGAGAAAAUGGAGGAUUUUCAUGAGGUCACCUGCAGGGCUGAAGGAGGACGACCUGCCCCAAGCCUCACCUGGUCUCUGCCUGAAAACACAUUCAGGGAAUGGAACAUCUCGGACAAGAUGCAACAGGACAGACGUGCAUACAAUGACACGGAGACACUCAGCAGCACCCUCCGCUUCCCUGUGCAUUUGCAUGAGGGCUGGAAUGUCACCUGCAUCAUUAAUCACCCUAAAUUUCUAUAUGAGCAGAGGAGAACCUCUUCCCUGCCCACAUACCGAUUUUUCUCAAUGCAGGUGUUCAGCCCAGGGGGUUCAUCUGCGGGGCAGAUACUGUUGGAAGAGGGCAAUAGCAAUGUAAGCAUCCAGCUUGAGGUGGCAGGAAAUGUUCCACAUUACCAGGUUACCUGCACCAAGGAAGACGGCUCCCUCCCCAAAGAUAUGACUGUGACUGGUAGCUCAUUGUGGAUUGGUGGCCCCGUGGAACUGGCCCAUGCUGGACAAUAUGAGUGUCAGGCCUCAUACUACCAACACAAGGUGUCAGUGCAGCUGGAGAUACAGGUUAUUCCUGAAGAGCUGCCACAAGUGGUUGUUCCUCCCAUCAUUAUGACUCACACCUGGGUGAAUUCAGACCUCAGGGCCUUCCAGUGCUCAGCCACUGGCGCCAUUCCAGCAGCCAGUGUGUCCUGGCUUUUUCCUGAGGAUCUGUCUAGAACAAUCCUGUCCAACGACACAUUCCAGAACGAAACACACUGUGUCAGCAGAAUUCUGCUCCGACCCAUCUGCUUGUCUAGGGAGCUCCUGGUGGAGUGUGUGAUACAGCACCCUGCGCUGUCUAGUGCAGCGAUCCAACAGAUCACGCUUCCAGCAUGCUUUGGCCCUGACGUCAGCCUGCAUUCUACUACUGCGUGGGAGGAUGGCAUUCAGUACACUCUGGUGGAGUGCAGAGCAGAAAGCGCCAAACCUGCACCUGCCAUUGAGUGGACCAUCAAGAAUGACCAUGGGAGCAACAACACCAUCCAGCUUUCUGAGGUCACAACCACCAACUGGACUUCUGAAAAUGGGUCCAUCACUGUACACAGUGUAGCACGACUGCCCUCUCACUCGUUCUAUAGACGAAUUGUGACCUGUGUUGUGACCCACGAAGCUCUGGAGAAGGAGAUCAUGAAAGAAAUCUGUAUACCUGCAGUGGAGCCCCCAGUUCCAGUGGUCUCCAUUAGAAACCAGCAGGUCUCGUCCUGGUGGCUGGCUGUUUGUGAGAUCACUUGGCACAUGGAGUUUAAUCUCUCCUGGGUCCUUCCUGAGAAAAACACAGGCCGGACACAGCCAUGCUUGAGAACAGAUGGAGUUCGCUAUUGGGCUAACAGCACCUAUGAGUUUCCUUUGGACCUGCAUGAGGGACAGAAUCUCACUUGCCGCAUCCAAACUGAGCACAUUAGCAUUGACAAGACUGUGCACAUUCCUCGAUACAACAUCUCCCUUGCACUGGCGAAUGCCACCUUGGUUUUAAGGAGGAACCUAGUGCAAAGGGUAACUCUACAGGCACAUGUUCGAAACCAAAAGGUCCAGCUCAGAGUUCAUGGCAAGAUGCCAAGAUUCAACUUUACCUGCUUCAGGAGCGACGGUUCACCUGCCAUUACUGAGGGAGUGGCAUUGGUGUUCCCGUUCCUGGUGUCGGAGCAAGAUGCUGGGCUGUAUACCUGUCACGCAUCCUUCUACCACCACCACACCACCCUUCUCCUUCAGGUGGAAGUGGCUGACAAGGAUGAGGAGCUCUGGAACAUUGUGUUGAUCUGUUUUUCCAUGGCAGUGGCGAUCGUGCUGAUACUCAUCGUUUGUCUCUGCAUAUUCUGCAAAAAGCAUAGAAGGGAAUCUUCAGCAUCUGUGGUGUCCUCUAACAAACGAGAGUCACUGGCAGCCCUCACAUCCCUGAUGGCAGACCACCGCUCUCCAGAGCUGAAGAAGUCGGCAGUGCCAACUCCCCUGAUCCAGAAGGACCAGCAGUACCCAGAGCUGGUUCGUUACUCUAUUGUCAUCGACAUCAAAUCCACUGUGUGACUGCAUGUUGAGUGUGAGGCCUCAGAGCUCCUUGAGGACUUGAACUCCUUUUCUUGUACACUGCCAGAAGACAGGUGCAACAGCACUGCCCAAAGAGUAGCUUCAAUAUACAAUGUUAGAAGCAGUGAAGGGGACAAAUCAGCUGUUAAAACAGAGGUCAAAUCAGAGAGCUAUGGGUAAAUAUGUUAGAGAAGCAGUUGCUUUAUGGAAAAUAUCUUCACGCUGUGAUAUCUGUUUCUCUUCUGCUAAGGUUGGGUUAAGAGAUGCCUUAUAAGCAUGAUUAAAUACUACGCACCUGGGAGCAAUUGCAGCAGCUUGCACCAUUCAUGCAAUUGGUUAUUGGGCUUGCGGUCUGAUGUUUGUAUCUUUGAUAAUGAUAAUGAUUAAUUCCUAAAGGUCAAUGGGCUAAUAUCAGUGUUAACAUGUGGUAAUGUCAAUAAAACCAGUAUCUUCAACUCA
ensembl:lncRNA